UACGUAGGGUGCAAGCGUUAAUCGGAAUUACUGGGCGUAAAGCGUGCGCAGGCGGCUUUGCAAGACAGAUGUGAAAUCCCCGGGCUUAACCUGGGAACCGCAUUUGUGACUGCACAGCUGGAGUACGGCAGAGGGGGAUGGAAUUCCGCGUGUAGCAGUGAAAUGCGUAGAUAUGCGGAGGAACACCGAUGGCGAAGGCAGUCCCCUGGGCCUGUACUGACGCUCAUGCACGAAAGCGUGGGGAGCAAACAGG
rnacentral:rRNA from 1 species